UACGAAGGGGGCUAGCGUUGUUCGGAAUCACUGGGCGUAAAGGGCGCGUAGGCGGCUUUAUAAGUCGGGGGUGAAAGCCUGUGGCUCAACCACAGAAUUGCCUUCGAUACUGUAGAGCUUGAGACCGGAAGAGGUAAGUGGAACUGCGAGUGUAGAGGUGAAAUUCGUAGAUAUUCGCAAGAACACCAGUGGCGAAGGCGGCUACCUGGACCGGUUCUGACACUGAUGCGCGAAAGCGUGGGUAGCAAACAGG
rnacentral:rRNA from 1 species